rnacentral:rRNA from 1 species
CCUACGGGAGGCUGCAGUGAGGAAUAUUGGUCAAUGGACGAGAGUCUGAACCAGCCAAGUAGCGUGAAGGAUGACUGCCCUAUGGGUUGUAAACUGCUUUUAUAUGGGAAUAAAAUGUUCCACGUGUGGGGGUUUGUAUGUACCAUAUGAAUAAGGAUCGGCUAACUCCGUGCCAGCAGCCGCGGUAAUACGGAGGAUCCGAGCGUUAUCCGGAUUUAUUGGGGUUAAAGGGAGCGUAGGUGGAUUGUUAAGUCAGUUGUGAAAGUCUGCGGCUCAACCGUAAAAUUGCAGUUGAAACUGGCAGUCUUGAGUACAGUAGAGGUGGGCGGAAUUCGUGGUGUAGCGGUGAAAUGCUUAGAUAUCACGAAGAACUCCGAUUGCGAAGGCAGCUCACUGGACUGCAACUGACACUGAGGCUCGAAAGUGUGGGUAUCAAACAGGAUUAGAUACCCGAGUAGUC